rnacentral:rRNA from 1 species
AUACGGGGGGUGCAAGCGUUAUUCGGAAUCACUGGGCGUAAAGGGCGCGCAGGCGGUUUGGUAAGUCAGAUGUGAAAGCCCGGGGCUCAACCCCGGAAGUGCAUUUGAUACUGCCUGACUUGAGUAUGGGAGAGGGAAGUGGAAUUCCUGGUGUAGAGGUGAAAUUCGUAGAUAUCAGGAGGAACACCGGUGGCGAAGGCGACUUCCUGGACCAAUACUGACGCUGAGGCGCGAAGGCGUGGGGAGCGAACAGGAUUAGAUACCCUAGUAGUCC